CAACUACUCCCUCUGUCCCAAAUUUCUUGUCUUAGAUUUGUCUAGAUACGGAUGUAUCUAAUACUAAAAUGUGACUUGAUACAUCCGUAUCUAGACAAAUCUAAGCAAGAAUUUUGGGACGGAGGGAGUACUUU
rnacentral:pre_miRNA from 1 species